rnacentral:sRNA from 1 species
GGGUUACUCCUUGGCGCUUGCGCGCUGUUUUGAUGAAGAUUCGCACCUCUAUCAAAACGGGUAACCCCGCCUCUUGGCAAGGUCUUACUGUCAGAUCAAGUCUGAACUUCUACAGAUAACGCGCACCAUUCCCCAUCCCGAAACUGGGAAGCUCAUCCAGAUCACGCGGACGGACAUCGAGCGUGGCUUUGUCG